CGGCGGACGGGUGAGUAACGCGUGGGUAACCUGCCUUGUACAGGGGGAUAACAGUUGGAAACGGCUGCUAAUACCGCAUAAGCGCACGGCAUCGCAUGAUGCAGUGUGAAAAACUCCGGUGGUAUAAGAUGGACCCGCGUUGGAUUAGCUAGUUGGUGAGGUAACGGCCCACCAAGGCGACGAUCCAUAGCCGACCUGAGAGGGUGACCGGCCACAUUGGGACUGAGACACGGCCCAA
rnacentral:rRNA from 1 species